rnacentral:rRNA from 1 species
AUUGAACGCUGGCGGCAGGCCUAACACAUGCAAGUCGAGCGGAUGAAGGGAGCUUGCUCCUGGAUUCAGCGGCGGACGGGUGAGUAAUGCCUAGGAAUCUGCCUGGUAGUGGGGGAUAACGUCCGGAAACGGGCGCUAAUACCGCAUACGUCCUGAGGGAGAAAGUGGGGGAUCUUCGGACCUCACGCUAUCAGAUGAGACUAGGUCGGAUUAGCUAGUUGGUGGGGUAAAGGCCUACCAAGGCGACGAUCCGUAACUGGUCUGAGAGGAUGAUCAGGCACCCUGGAACUGAGACACGGUCCAGACUCCUACGGGAGGCAGCAGUGGGGAAUAUUGGACAAUGGGCGAAAGCCUGAUCCAGCCAUGCCGCGUGUGUGAAGAAGGUCUUCGGAUUGUAAAGCACUUUAAGUUGGGAGGAAGGGCAGUAAGUUAAUACCUUGCUGUUUUGACGUUACCAACAGAAUAAGCACCGGCUAACUUCGUA